AUUGAACGCUGGCGGAAUGCUUUACACAUGCAAGUCGAACGGCAGCACGAGGGCAACCUUGGUGGCGAGUGGCGAACGGGUGAGUAAUACAUCGGAACGUGCCCAGUCGUGGGGGAUAACUACGCGAAAGCGUAGCUAAUACCGCAUACGAACUCUGGUUGAAAGCGGGGGAUCGCAAGACCUCACGCGAUUGGAGCGGCCGAUGGCAGAUUAGGUAGUUGGUGGGGUAAAGGCUCACCAAGCCGACGAUCUGUAGCUGGUCUGAGAGGACGACCAGCCGCACGGGGACUGAGACAGGGCCCAGACUCCUACGGGAGGCAGCAGUGGGGAAUUUUGGACAAUGGGCGCAAGCCUGAUCCAGCCAUUCCGCGUGCAGGAUGAAGGCCCUCGGGUUGUAAACUGCUUUUGUACGGAACGAAAAGGCUCUGGUUAAUACCCGGAGCUCAUGACGGUACCGUAAGAAUAAGCACCGGCUAACUACGUGCCAGCCGCCGCAGUAACAC
rnacentral:rRNA from 1 species